rnacentral:rRNA from 1 species
GACGAACGCUGGCGGCGUGCCUAAUACAUGCAAGUAGAACGCUGAAGGAGGAGCUUGCUUCUCUGGAUGAGUUGCGAACGGGUGAGUAACGCGUAGGUAACCUGCCUGGUAGCGGGGGAUAACUAUUGGAAACGAUAGCUAAUACCGCAUAAGAGUAGAUGUUGCAUGACAUUUGCUUAAAAGGUGCAAUUGCAUCACUACCAGAUGGACCUGCGGUGUAUUAGCUAGUUGGUGGGGUAACGGCUUACCAAGGCGACGAUACAUAGCCGACCUGAGAGGGGGAUCGGCCACACUGGGACUGAGACACGGCCCAGACUCCUACGGGAGGCAGCAGUAGGGAAUCUUCGGCAAUGGACGGAAGUCUGACCGAGCAACGCCGCGUGAGUGAAGAAGGUUUUCGGAUCGUAAAGCUCUGUUGUAAGAGAAGAACGAGUGUGAGAGUGGAAAGUUCACACUGUGACGGUAUCUUAACAGAAAGGGACGGCUAACUACGUG